UGGGGAAUAUUGCGCAAUGGGGGCAACCCUGACGCAGCCAUGCCGCGUGAAUGAAGAAGGCCUUCGGGUUGUAAAGUUCUUUCGGUAGUGAGGAAGGUGGUUAGUUUAAUAGGCUAGCCAAUUGACGUUAACUACAGAAGAAGCACCGGCUAACUCCGUGCCAGCAGCCGCGGUAAUACGGAGGGUGCGAGCGUUAAUCGGAAUAACUGGGCGUAAAGGGCACGCAGGCGGACUUUUAAGUGAGGUGUGAAAGCCCCGGGCUUAACCUGGGAAUUGCAUUUCAGACUGGGAGUCUAGAGUACUUUAGGGAGGGGUAGAAUUCCACGUGUAGCGGUGAAAUGCGUAGAGAUGUGGAGGAAUACCGAAGGCGAAGGCAGCCCCUUGGGAAUGUACUGACGCUCAUGUGCGAAAGCGUGGGGAGCAAACAGG
rnacentral:rRNA from 1 species